CACAUGACAGCCAGCACCUUAUGGUAUAAAUCAACAAAGAAUGACCUCACUUUGUUGUAUAGAAAGUCUCAUUAGUAAGGAAGCAUAUAUGAAUUUUCUGAGUCAAGACCUAUAGUGACUGUUUGGGGUUUUGUUAGGUUAAGUUUAGGGUAUCUUCAAACACAUGACAGCCAGCACCUUAUGGUAUAAAUCAACAAAGAAUGACCUCACUUUGUUGUAUAGAAAGUCUCAUUAGUAAGGAAGCAUAUAUGAAUUUUCUGAGUCAAGACCUAUAGUGACUGUUUGGGGUUUUGUUAGGUUAAGUUUAGGGUAUCUUCAAACACAUGAUAGCCAGCACCUUAUGGUAUAAAUCAACAAAGAAUGACCUCACUUUGUUGUAUAGAAAGUCUCAUUAGUAAGGAAGCAUAUAUGAAUUUUCUGAGUCAAGACCUAUAGUGACUGUUUGGGGUUUUGUUAGGUUAGGUUAAGUUUAGGGUAUCUUCAAACACAUGAUAGCCAGCACCUUAUGGUAUAAAUCAACAAAGAAUGACCUCACUUUGUUGUGUAGAAAGUCUCAUUAGUAAGGAAGCAUAUAUGAAUUUUCUGAGUCAAGACCUAUAGUAACUGUUUGGGGUUUUGUUAGGUUAGGUUAGGUUAAGUUUAGGGUAUCUUCAAACACAUGAUAGCCAGCACCUUAUGGUAUAAAUCAACAAAGAAUGACCUCACUUUGUUGUGUAGAAAGUCUCAUUAGUAAGGAAGCAUAUAUG